AUUGAACGCUGGCGGCAGGCCUAACACAUGCAAGUCGAACGGAUCCUUCGGGAUUAGUGGCGGACGGGUGAGUAACACGUGGGAACGUGCCCUUUGGUUCGGAACAACUCAGGGAAACUUGAGCUAAUACCGGAUGUGCCCUUCGGGGGAAAGAUUUAUCGCCAUUGGAGCGGCCCGCGUCUGAUUAGCUAGUUGGUGAGGUAAAGGCUCACCAAGGCGACGAUCAGUAGCUGGUCUGAGAGGAUGAUCAGCCACAUUGGGACUGAGACACGGCCCAAACUCCUACGGGAGGCAGCAGUGGGGAAUCUUGCGCAAUGGGCGAAAGCCUGACGCAGCCAUGCCGCGUGAAUGAUGAAGGUCUUAGGAUUGUAAAAUUCUUUCACCGGGGACGAUAAUGACGGUACCCGGAGAAGAAGCCCCGGCUAACUUCGUGCCAGCCGCCGCGGUAAAAC
rnacentral:rRNA from 1 species